UCGGCAAAGCAGAUGUGACUUCUGCUUCUACGCCGUAAGGCCACUUUUUGUUUGUUUGUGAUUAGCGAUUUAGUUGUGGCUGGGAAUGGGAGGAGAUGGAGAGGGAGUUAGGAUUUUCGGAAGGUUGUGAAAUGGGUUUCUGAUUAUUCCUCCCUCUCCUCGUCUUCUUCAUCGAUCACAUGAGCUUUCAACUUUUAUGGAGGUCAAGUGGUGAUUGGGGAUUUCAUCAAAUUUAUCAGCAAAAUUGCAUAACCAUCAGCUUGUAGCAGCAAUUUCUCAGCCGUUUUCUUUUGGGACAGGGUUUGUUUCGCAUCCCUCUUUACUUGUUACUGUUUAUGCGAAUAAUUAUAUAAAAAUAAAUAAUUACCUAAAUAAGCUUAUAUGGUUAUCAACAAGACCCAACAGCCCACUAAAAAAGUUUUGCUACAUCAACUCCAACCCAAAACCCUAUCAACCUGAAUCCUUUAUUAUUUCAUUUAUAUUUUAAAGUUGAUUCCGCUUAAUCAAUGAAGUUUGAAGUUAUU